AGGAGCUCUGUGAUUGGUUAGGAAAGGACAGACUGGCCACCUCGAUUUUUCUUCACUGCACAUUGAUCCAUAGCUUUGCUCUGUAAAGGCUAACAAAGUGCUUUUGCUUUACAAAGACAUUCAGCGUCGGUAUUCACUCUUUUAAAAUGCCACUGAACACUGGAGUGAAAUGGAGCCCUGAUCCUCAGAGUUUUAUUGUUGCUAACAUUUCUUAUAGAUAGCACAGAUAGUGCCCCACUGCAGUAAUCACUCAUGUCUAGAUAUUCCUGUUAAAAAGGAGUUUUUCCUCCCCACUGUAACAUGGCAAACAUAGCAAACGGAUAAUCCAGCUGAAGCUUCAGACAGCCGUCAGACAGUGAAACACUGCCAUCUGCUGGACGCGAAUAACAAAGACGCUGCUUUGACGGGUGAGGGAGUUUCAACAAGUCUGCAACGACUCAAGCAUCAAACUACAGAACUAUUCUAGCGGACAUGGUGCUCUAAUGACUGCUUCAUUAACGCAGGUCAGAAAGGAUCAAACAUAUCAAUAAAUCAUAAAACACAAAACGUCUCUUAUUGCCCAGGGCUCAGGAAGUGAGUGUGUUCCUUAUAGCCCAACACGUUCUCACUCCCAACUCGUCAAACGUGUGACGCAUGGUCAGGCUCCCUCUGCUUCACUUAUGGACCAUAUGGACCACCAGGUACAGUACGUGAUAUCAAGGGCAGGCGGUCAUCACUGGGGGUAGACAAGAAGCAGACGUACUUCCAAGAGGGAGCUGCAGUGAGGUCAGAGUGUCUGCAGAUCAGCAUCAGUGUCCACGUGAAGAACCUAGUUAUGUUGCCAGUGUCAACCCAACAAAAGUUCGGCUGUUGCCUGUGCAAAGACCAGACUGUGUGUGACUGCCCAGCAGGUAACGUUGAGGUUUCACCCGGUGCAAUUGUGGCUCUUGUAACCAUAAAUGGCCGUUAUAACCUUGCACUGCCAGUGGUGAGCUGCACCAGCUGUGGCCUAAUGUGGUCCCCCUCAGUUAAGGACUUCCAGGGUGGUGGAUAUUGGCCUGGCACCUUAAAUUUCUGCACCCUGUUUUCAAUGGAUGUCUUUCAGUCUUUCUAUGACAUUAAGAAGCUGCAGCAGGGAUGUCACUUAAGGCCUUUGUCAAAGUGCUGGAUGAACGAACAGCCCAUUUUGGAAGGACUGGCCGAAUAUCAGCUGAUGCCUUCAGCAAAAGUUUCUUGGAGUGGAGUGCUGUAAAGUGUGAGGUGGACAGGAUGUGCAAGGAGCCAUGCUUUAGCUGCCCUGCCUGCACUCCAGACAUGCUCGCCGUCUCAGUUGAUGGAAACUGCAAGCUUUAUCGCUUUCAAUCAAAUGCAAGCACUUCAGAGCAGGGGAACUUUGAAGGUGUCUUCAUUGAGAAAGAUGAGGAAGUUGCUGAGUUUGUGAAAUACAUCCAGAGACACACAAAUGAUAUCAAAUGGGGAGGUGCGUUUCAGGAUGGGGC